AUUGAACGCUGGCGGCAGGCCUAACACAUGCAAGUCGAGCGGAUGAAGGGAGCUUGCUCCUGGAUUCAGCGGCGGACGGGUGAGUAAUGCCUAGGAAUCUGCCUGGUAGUGGGGGAUAACGUCCGGAAACGGGCGCUAAUACCGCAUACGUCCUGAGGGAGAAAGUGGGGGAUCUUCGGACCUCACGCUAUCAGAUGAGCCUAGGUCGGAUUAGCUAGUUGGUGGGGUAAAGGCCUACCAAGGCGACGAUCCGUAACUGGUCUGAGAGGAUGAUCAGUCACACUGGAACUGAGACACGGUCCAGACUCCUACGGGAGGCAGCAGUGGGGAAUAUUGGACAAUGGGCGAAAGCCUGAUCCAGCCAUGCCGCGUGUGUGAAGAAGGUCUUCGGAUUGUAAAGCUCUUUAAGUUGGGAGGAAGGGCAGUAAGUUAAUACCUUGCUGUUUUGACGUUACCAACAGAAUAAGCACCGGCUAACUUCGUG
rnacentral:rRNA from 1 species